UGGCAGGUCACCCCANAAGGGCAGCAGCUG
rnacentral:piRNA from 1 species